rnacentral:rRNA from 1 species
AGAGUUUGAUCAUGGCUCAGGACGAACGCUGGCGGCGUGCCUAAUACAUGCAAGUCGAACGCUUCUUUUUCCACCGGAGCUUGCUCCACCGGAAAAAGAGGAGUGGCGAACGGGUGAGUAACACGUGGGUAACCUGCCCAUCAGAAGGGGAUAACACUUGGAAACAGGUGCUAAUACCGUAUAACAAUCGAAACCGCAUGGUUUUGAUUUGAAAGGCGCUUUCGGGUGUCGCUGAUGGAUGGACCCGCGGUGCAUUAGCUAGUUGGUGAGGUAACGGCUCACCAAGGCGACGAUGCAUAGCCGACCUGAGAGGGUGAUCGGCCACAUUGGGACUGAGACACGGCCCAAACUCCUACGGGAGGCAGCAGUAGGGAAUCUUCGGCAAUGGACGAAAGUCUGACCGAGCAACGCCGCGUGAGUGAAGAAGGUUUUCGGAUCGUAAAACUCUGUUGUUAGAGAAGAACAAGGAUGAGAGUAACUGUUCAUCCCUUGACGGUAUCUAACCAGAAAGCCACGGCUAACUACGUGCCAGCAGCCGCGGUAAUACGUAGGUGGCAAGCGUUGUCCGGAUUUAUUGGGCGUAAAGCGAGCGCAGGCGGUUUCUUAAGUCUGAUGUGAAAGCCCCCGGCUCAACCGGGGAGGGUCAUUGGAAACUGGGAGACUUGAGUGCAGAAGAGGAGAGUGGAAUUCCAUGUGUAGCGGUGAAAUGCGUAGAUAUAUGGAGGAACACCAGUGGCGAAGGCGGCUCUCUGGUCUGUAACUGACGCUGAGGCUCGAAAGCGUGGGGAGCAAACAGGAUUAGAUACCCUGGUAGUCCACGCCGUAAACGAUGAGUGCUAAGUGUUGGAGGGUUUCCGCCCUUCAGUGCUGCAGCUAACGCAUUAAGCACUCCGCCUGGGGAGUACGACCGCAAGGUUGAAACUCAAAGGAAUUGACGGGGGCCCGCACAAGCGGUGGAGCAUGUGGUUUAAUUCGAAGCAACGCGAAGAACCUUACCAGGUCUUGACAUCCUUUGACCACUCUAGAGAUAGAGCUUCCCCUUCGGGGGCAAAGUGACACGUGGUGCAUGGUUGUCGUCAGCUCGUGUCGUGAGAUGUUGGGUUAAGUCCCGCAACGAGCGCAACCCUUAUUGUUAGUUGCCAUCAUUUAGUUGGGCACUCUAGCAAGACUGCCGGUGACAAACCGGAGGAAGGUGGGGAUGACGUCAAAUCAUCAUGCCCCUUAUGACCUGGGCUACACACGUGCUACAAUGGGAAGUACAACGAGUCGCAAAGUCGCGAGGCUAAGCUAAUCUCUUAAAGCUUCUCUCAGUUCGGAUUGUAGGCUGCAACUCGCCUACAUGAAGCCGGAAUCGCUAGUAAUCGCGGAUCAGCACGCCGCGGUGAAUACGUUCCCGGGCCUUGUACACACCGCCCGUCACACCACGAGAGUUUGUAACACCCGAAGUCGGUGAGGUAACCUUUUGGAGCCAGCCGCCUAAGGUGGGAUAGAUGAUUGGGGUGAAGUCGUAACAAGGUAAC